AAGGAUUCUUGAGGGAAGUUGGCCACAGUACGAGAGGACCUGGCUGAAGAAAUCCCUAGUGUACCAGUUGUCCCGUCCGGGGCAUCGCUGGGUAGCUACAUUUCUAAGGGAUAACCGCUGAAAGCAUCUAAGCGGGAAGCCCAUCCCAAGAUUAGGAAUCCCUGUCUGUCGAAAGGCAGACAUAAAGACCCGUUGGAGAAUACAACGUUAAUAGGCGGAAGGUGUAAGACUCGCAAGAGUUUUAGCCCAUCCGUACUAAUUGGUCAAUCGGACAAAAAUC
rnacentral:rRNA from 1 species